rnacentral:rRNA from 1 species
CGAGGUGGAGCAAAACUCAAAAACCUAUCCCAGUUCGGAUUGUAGGCUGCAACUCGCCUACAUGAAGCCGGAGUUGCUAGUAAUCGCGAAUCAGAAUGUCGCGGUGAAUACGUUCCCGGGCCUUGUACACACCGCCCGUCACACCAUGAGAGCUGGCAACACCCGAAGUCUGUGA